CCUACGGGAGGCAGCAGUCGAGAAUCAUUCACAAUGGGGGAAACCCUGAUGGUGCGACGCCGCGUGGGGGAAUGAAGGUCUUCGGAUUGUAAACCCCUGUCAUGUGGGAGCAAAUAAAAAAGAUAGUACCACAAGAGGAAGAGACGGCUAACUCUUUGCCAGCAGCCGCGGUAAUCCAGAGGUCUCAAGCGUUGUUCGGAAUCACUGGGCGUAAAGCGUGCGUAGGCUGUUGCGUAAGUCGUGUGUGAAAGGCGCGGGCUCAACCCGCGGACGGCACAUGAUACUGCGAGACUAGAGUAAUGGAGGGGGAACCGGAAUUCUCGGUGUAGCAGUGAAAUGCGUAGAUAUCGAGAGGAACACUCGUGGCGAAGGCGGGUUCCUGGACAUUAACUGACGCUGAGGCACGAAGGCCAGGGGAGCGAAAGGGAUUAGAUACCCCAGUAGUC
rnacentral:rRNA from 1 species